rnacentral:rRNA from 1 species
UACGUAGGGGGCAAGCGUUGUCCGGAUUUAUUGGGCGUAAAGAGCGUGUAGGCGGCUAGAUAGGUCCGUUGUGAAAACUCGAGGCUCAACCUCGAGACGUCGAUGGAAACCAUCUGGCUAGAGUCCGGAAGAGGAGAGUGGAAUUCCUGGUGUAGCGGUGAAAUGCGCAGAUAUCAGGAAGAACACCCGUGGCGAAGGCGGCUACCUGGCCUAAUACUGACACUGAGGCACGAAAGCGUGGGGAGCAAACAGG